rnacentral:rRNA from 1 species
UGCGUAGGCGGAUGGGUAAGUGGGUCGUGAAAGCGCCGGGCUAAACCGGGCGAGGACGAACUAGACUGCUCAUCUAGAGGCGGAUAGAGGGGUGCGGAAUUCCGGGUGUAGCGGUGAAAUGUGUAGAGAUCCGGAGGAACACCAGUGGUGCAAACGGCGCCCUGGGUCCGAACUGACGCUGAGGCACGAAAGCGUGGGGAGCGAACG